GGUCCUAUAGUCUAGUGGUCAUGACGUUGGAUUUUGAUUCCAAAGACCCCGGUUCGAACCCGGGUAGGACCU